GCAUUAAUGGGGUAGUGGUAACCUGGGUCGUUGCCAUUCGGUACUUAUGUGCCCUUCGAGCUCGACCCGCCGGGGGUUCAAUUCCCCCUUAAUGCA